rnacentral:lncRNA from 1 species
GCUGGAGUUACAUUUUGGUUCAGAGUGAAUUUGCUCUAGGAGUCAAGGGGAUCUGCUAUUCCUGUUUCCCUUCUGCCCCACGCUACACCGUGCAGGUGACCUUGACACAAAGCGACAGGCUUUGCUUUAAGGGAGAAAGAAAGAGAGAUUACUUUCAGAGUUUGGAAACUGAAUCCAAAACCCUAUCAGGACAAAUUUUGCCAGGGCAGCAUAUUCUUUCUCUCAGAAGCAAGCAAACGUACAUAAGAAAGGCUGAAGUAGGACAGAGCGCGAGCCAGUCUGUCCGGAGUUCUGCCUCUGGCAGAAGAUGAAGCAGAGCCUUGAGACCUCAGCCUUACAGGUUUUUCUUUUCACCCGCAGCUCUAGAUUUUCUGAAUUCUAUCACCAACCCUGUCUGGUGCUCAUGAAAGCGUUUCCGAUAUUUUCUGGAAAGUACCUCUUAAUAAACUGCCUGCAUGCAAACAGCCAACUGAGAGUUUGCUUUCCAAACACCCUUCUCCUAAGGUAAGGACUUUGUUCGCAUCCAGGAUUUUGAAUGCACUAAUAAUUGCUUGGAACGUCCUUGCCCGUUCUUUUCAGCUUUACAUAAGCCUGUGACUCUUGAUCCUGCUCUCUCAUUAGAAUUACUUGUGUUGCUUCCAAAAAUUAACAAUCCUCAGGACCUACCCCAUAAUCAUGGGAUCAGAAAUUAGAAUUUCUGGGAAUGGGGCCCAAACAUUUAUAUUUUUC